UCCUACGGGAGGCAGCAGUGGGGAAUAUUGCACAAUGGAGGAAACCCUGAUGCAGCCAUGCCGCGUGUGUGAAGAAGGCCUUCGGGUUGUAAAGCACUUUCAGUUGUGAGGAAAAGUUAGUAGUUAAUACCUGCUAGCCGUGACGUUAACAACAGAAGAAGCACCGGCUAACUCCGUGCCAGCAGCCGCGGUAAUACGGAGGGUGCGAGCGUUAAUCGGAAUUACUGGGCGUAAAGCGCACGCAGGCGGUUUGUUAAGCUAGAUGUGAAAGCCCCGGGCUCAACCUGGGAUGGUCAUUUAGAACUGGCAGACUAGAGUCUUGGAGAGGGGAGUGGAAUUCCAGGUGUAGCGGUGAAAUGCGUAGAUAUCUGGAGGAACAUCAGUGGCGAAGGCGACUCCCUGGCCAAAGACUGACGCUCAUGUGCGAAAGUGUGGGUAGCGAACAGGAUUAGAUACCCUGGUAGUCCACACCGUAAACGCUGUCUACUAGCUGUGUGUGCCUUUAAGGCGUGCGUAGCGAAGCUAACGCGCUAAGUAGACCGCCUGGGGAGUACGGCCGCAAGGUUAAAACUCAAAUGAAUUGACGG
rnacentral:rRNA from 1 species